rnacentral:rRNA from 1 species
UCGGGGUACUCGAGCGGCGAACGGGUGAGUAACACGUGAGCAACCUGCCCUAGGCUUUGGGAUAACCCUCGGAAACGGGGGCUAAUACCGAAUAUGACCUCCGAUCGCAUGGUUGGUGGUGGAAAGUUUUUCGGCCUGGGAUGGGCUCGCGGCCUAUCAGCUUGUUGGUGGGGUGAUGGCCUACCAAGGCGACGACGGGUAGCCGGCCUGAGAGGGCGACCGGCCACACUGGGACUGAGACACGGCCCAGACUCCUACGGGAGGCAGCAGUGGGGAAUAUUGCACAAUGGGCGGAAGCCUGAUGCAGCGACGCCGCGUGAGGGAUGACGGCCUUCGGGUUGUAAACCUCUUUCAGCAGGGACGAAGCGAAAGUGACGGUACCUGCAGAAGAAGCGCCGGCCAACUACGUGCCA